rnacentral:rRNA from 1 species
CCAGACUCCUACGGGAGGCAGCAGUGAGGAAUAUUGGUCAAUGGUCGGGAGACUGAACCAGCCAAGCCGCGUGAGGGAUGAAGGUACAGAGUAUCGUAAACCUCUUUUGCCGGGGAGCAAGGGCGGGGACGUGUCCCGGCCCGGAGAGUACCCGGAGAAAAAGCAUCGGCUAACUCCGUGCCAGCAGCCGCGGUAAUACGGAGGAUGCGAGCGUUAUCCGGAUUUAUUGGGUUUAAAGGGUGCGUAGGCGGAAUAUCAAGUCAGCGGUAAAAAUUCGGGGCUCAACCCCGUCGUGCCGUUGAAACUGAUGUUCUUGAGUGGGCGAGAAGUAUGCGGAAUGCGUGGUGUAGCGGUGAAAUGCAUAGAUAUCACGCAGAACUCCGAUUGCGAAGGCAGCAUACCGGCGCCCAACUGACGCUGAAGCACGAAAGCGUGGGUAUCGAACAGGAUUAGAUACCCCAGUA